CACGUAGGCACCAAGCGUUGUCCGGAUUUAUUGGGCGUAAAGCGCACGUAGGCGGAUUGCUAAGUCAGGGGUGAAAUCCCGGAGCUCAACUCCGGAACUGCCUUUGAUACUGGCGAUCUUGAGUCCGGGAGAGGUGAGUGAAACUGCGAGUGUAGAGGUGAAAUUCGUAGAUAUUCGCAAGAACACCAGUGGCGAAGGCGGCUCACUGGCCCGGUACUGACGCUGAGGUGCGAAAGCGUGGGGAGCAAACAGG
rnacentral:rRNA from 1 species